GACGAACGCUGGCGGCGUGCUUAACACAUGCAAGUCGAACGGAAAGGCCCUGCUUUUGUGGGGUGCUCGAGUGGCGAACGGGUGAGUAACACGUGAGUAACCUGCCCUUGACUUUGGGAUAACUUCAGGAAACUGGGGCUAAUACCGGAUAGGAGCUCCUGCUGCAUGGGGGGGGUUGGAAAGUUUCGGCGGUUGGGGAUGGACUCGCGGCUUAUCAGCUUGUUGGUGGGGUAGUGGCUUACCAAGGCUUUGACGGGUAGCCGGCCUGGGAGGGUGACCGGCCACAUUGGGCCUGCGAUACGGCCCAGACUCCUACGGGAGGCAGCAGUCGGGAAUAUUGCACAGUGGGCGGAAGCCUGAUGCAGCAACGCCGCGUUCGUGAUGACGGCCUUCUGGUUGUAAACCGCUUUCGACUGUGACGAAGCGUGAGUGACGGUAAUGGGUAAAGAAGCACCGGCUAACUACGUG
rnacentral:rRNA from 1 species